AAUAUUGGACAAUGGGGGCAACACUGAUCCAGCCAUGCCGCGUGUGUGAAGAAGGUCUGCGGAUUGUAAAUCACUUUAAGUAUGGAGUAAUGGCUUUAGUCUAAUACUCUGAAGUUUUUACCUUACCACCAGAAUAAGCACUUACUCACUCUGUGCCAGCAGCCGCGGUAAUACUGUGGGUGCACGCGUUAAUCGGAAGUACUGGGCGUAAAGCGCGCGUAGGUGGUUCAGUAAGAUGGGUGUGAAAUCCCCGGGCUUAACCUGGGAACUGCUUUCAUAACUGCUGAGCUAGAGUACGGUAGAGGGUAGUGGAAUUUCCUGUGUAGCGGUGAAAUGCGUAGAUAUAGGAAGGAACACCAGUGGCGAAGGCGACUACCUGGACUGAUACUGACACUGAGGUGCGAAAGCGUGGGGAGCAAACA
rnacentral:rRNA from 1 species